UACGUAGUAUGGGCUCUUGGGUGAUCGUGUAAACAGCAUUGUGUGCAUUCCUGACUAAAAUGAGGAAGGCCCCAAGGGCCUUUGUGGCAGUCCACAGUGACGCAGCACUGAUCGGGUAUCCUGACCAACUUUGGGAAGGGGCAGGACGGAGAGGCCGGAGGCAGCCUGUCAUCGCAGAGUGGCGCACAUCCCACAGCGCCGUCUAUACAGGAAAGAUGGGAGUGUCCCCUGGAAAGAAGGGCUGAAAGGAGGGUGGAAGCAGGAUUAUUGUUUUAAGGACAGCUCUUAUGAGGUUUGGUCGCUUAUUGGUUGGCUGCCUUCCCUUUUCAACCACAACUUUUUCAACCACACCUGCCCCAACACAGAGCUCCUCUUUGACGGAAGAAAUGUGAUACAGGCACACAGUUAAAUGCUGGCUUCCUGCACGCAUGCUUAACAAAGUUCGAGCAAAGAGCCAUCAAAACAUCUGGCAAUGUUUCGAAGAGUGGCCUUUUUUGUCUAUUUUAUCCUUUUUAUGAUGUUGCCCUUGUUUGAAAUUCAUUGUUUUAAUUUACCAAUGUUAUG